rnacentral:tRNA from 1 species
GCCCCGUUCGUCUAGCGGCCUAGGACCCAGCGUUUUCAGCGCUGUGACCGCCGGUUCGAAUCCGGCACGGGGUA